GUGAAAGCCAAGUGUCGCAGAAAUGGAAAGUGCCACCAAGGACGUGCAGGACGAGGAGUGACGGCUGUGGACACCCACUCAGUUGAAGAACCAAUAAGAAAAAUAACUGAAUGUGCCAGGGUCUACACAGACAAUCACUCAGAAACUGCUAAACUUUUGAACCUGAAAGGAAGCAGGAGAGAAGUAAAGAUGGAGGAAGAGUGAGGCCUUAGCAGGAAUCCACGCUGUGCGAGUCUCCGCGCUGUU